GACAGGUCUGUAGGAUCCAUAAACGGAGUUUCUCAUGGAUUCAUGUUGUCUAUACUUUAUGUCAUGGCCCCUCCUGUAGGCAAGAGCCCUGAAAAGCUCCGGCAAGCAUCGAGCGGUGGACCUCACUGAUCAGAAGUUUGUCCCUAUAACUUCUACCCACCGAUUCCAGACGUAUUGCGGCAACCACAUGAAACCAGGAUGACCCUUGAACAUCUCUCCGUGUCUACUUUUAUCCAUGCCCAACAGCCUUAUUUUCAACGGUUUUUCCUAAGAGACGUAGGAUUAUCAUCGCCACGGCUUUUAUGUGUAUCAGCUCUAACUGAAAUCUUUUUGUUCUGGAUCAGAAACAGAAUGAAAAUGUUCAUGAAGCAUAGAAUGCAUAAACGAACGCCGUCUGCUUCUUACAGCCUGUAAAACAUUUUUAAUGUAAAAUAUUUUGAAAAAAAUAAAAGAAGAGAAAUGUUUCAUAUCAUGGGAAAAGAUACCGAACUUGAAUUUCAGCGCCCAUAAACCAAGUUGUAUCAGAACACGACCAGGAUCACGUGUUGACAGACUGGCUGCGGCUGCCUUUCCCGCUACGAUGCCAGAGUCGAGGAGUCAGACAGGGACCCGUAUGGCCUUUUUUACAGAAAUGUUUGCGGACCCCUGCUGUGUGGCCAUGGGGUUG